GGAUCUGUAGCUCAGCUGGUUAGAGCGCUUGAUUCACAUUCAAGAGGUCACAGGUUCGAAUCCUGUCAGAUCCACCA
rnacentral:tRNA from 1 species